UUGGAGGGCAAGUCUGGUGCCAGCAGCCGCGGUAAUUCCAGCUCCAAUAGCGUAUAUUAAAGUUGUUGCAGUUAAAAAGCUCGUAGUUGAAUUUCGGGGUUAGCAGGUUGGUCGUGCCAAUGGUAUGUACUGGCCUUGCUGAUUCCUCCCUCUUGAUGAGCCGUAAUGCCAUUAAUUUGGUGUUGCGAGGAAUCAGGACUGUUACUUUGAAAAAAUUAGAGUGUUUAAAGCAGGCAAGCGCUUGAAUACAUUAGCAUGGAAUAAUGAAAUAGGACGUUUGAUCUUAUUUUGUUGGUUUCUAAGAUUGACGUAAUGAUUAAUAGGGAUAGUUGGGGGCAUUAGUAUUCAAUUGUCAGAGGUGAAAUUCUUGGAUUUAUUGAAGACUAACUACUGCGAAAGCAUUUGCCAAGGAUGUUUUCAUUAAUCAAGAACGAAAGUUAGGGGAUCGAAGACGAUCAGAUACCGUCGUAGUCUUAACCAUAAACUAUGCCGACUAGGGAUCGGAUGAUGUUAAUUUUUUAAUGACUCAUUCGGCGCCUUACGGGAAAC
rnacentral:rRNA from 1 species